GCCCGCUGAGCCGGCCCAGAGCCCCAAGUGGCCCCUCUUACCGUGGGCCCUGCGUGGGGUGGCUGUCCGCUCCUGCCCAGCCUGGCCUGUGCUGGAGUCCCCCGCAGAGCUUUGGGACGGGGCAGUGCCGCUCACACCAGCGGCCGAGAUGCUGCCUCAGACUCGGACACUGGCAGCAGCAGGUCCGGGCCUGUGCUGUGCGUGGCAGAGGUGAGCCGCGGCGGAAGUGACCAGGAGGGCGGCGUCUGGGGCUUUGGCAGCUGCUCUCCGCUCCAGUGCUGUCCCCGCCGCCUGGUCUGCUGCUGUGUCUGCGGUCCCUCCUCAGGAAUUGCCGGGCGGCCCAGUGUAGACGCAGCUCAGCAGGCAGGCGCGGUAGGGGUGGACACAGAGCGCCCCCGCCCCCGGCCCUGUGGCUUUCUCUGCCGCCCAGGUCUCGCACACAGGCAGUCUGCAUGGCAGUCCGUCCCCAACGCCAUCCGGCAGCCCGCGAUGCUGCAUGUGGUGGGGGACGGCCAGAACCGCUGAGAAAACAGAGAAUCUGCGCUCUGUGGGGACCAAGUGCGAUUCCCAGACUCCCCUGUAAACCAGGGCCCCGAGAAUCUGGGCCCCUGGAAAGUCGGCACCCACCUCCGAGGACAAACAGGAGCCGAGGUGCCUCUCGCUGUGGCCUCAGCCUGCGGGCCUGCAGCUCCUGGGGGCGGGGCGGUGUCAUGCCCCGUCCUUGUGGGUCUGCCAGGAAGAGCAGAGGGCGACAGCUUGUGCGGCCAGGCAGGAGAAGGGCAGCCCUCCAAGGGCACCAGGAGCGCCAGGGAGAAGGUCCCCGCGCCUCCCUGAAAUCAAGAUGUCCUUUGGUGUCUUUCCAAAGAGCUUGGGUCCCCUCGGAAGUUGGGGUGGAGGCUGCCCUCCCCCGCUGGACAGCUGUGAGGCCAGCGUCUCCCUGUCCUGGAAGCAGGGUCUCGGGGUACUGCCCGGUCGCUCUGAGGAGAGCGCUGCAGCCGGGGCUCUGCUGCCCUGUCAGGAAGUCCAGGCCUGUCCUGGAGAAAGGCGCAGGGUCACUGGUCAACAAGGGAGCCUUGCUGAUGUCAAUGACCCUGUCGGUUGGGCUUGCAGGAGGUGAUUCGAUGAUAGACGGCCCGUCCAGUCGGAAGAGGUGGCGGCGGGGUGGCCUGGAAGGGCCCUCUUCCUCCGCAGCGCGCCCGCCCCUGCUCCCCGCCAAGCCCUUCCACCCGACGCCCGCUUGGAGCUGGGGCCGCAGACUGCAGCCUGCGGAGGGGGCAGAGGCAGCCUCCCCCUCAGUGCUGGUGUCGCGUUGUGUCUUAGCCACGGAAGGGGGUAUGGCAGGGUGUGAGCCCCUUGCCUGAGGGCAGAAUCGGGCCCACUGGGCCCCCCCAGCCGCCCAGCGCCAGAGCCCCGUUCCAGCCCAUGUGGUGGACACGAGUGACAAGCACCUGCGUGUGUGACGGCCGGGUGCCUCCCUCAGCUUUCCCCAGCUAGUCACCCUUCGUGGGGACCCUGUGCACCCUCGUCUCUUCCCGGCGCUGCCCCCAGGUGCCCAACUCCGCCCAGAAAGGAGGACAGGGCCUGCCUCCGGGUUGGAGGGCCGGGGCGAGCGGUGCCCCAUGAACAGGGCAGGCCAGCAGGGAGGAGCCGGGAGGGAGAUGGACAGGUGCAGGCCCCGCUCCCAGCAGGUCGCGUGGUGCUGCGGCGGCCGCCUUUGGAAGCCCUGCCUGGGGGCGUCCAGAGCGCCGCAGUCCCGGUCUGCCUCGCUCUCACUCUGCGGGCAGCAGAGGAUUUUCAUUGACAUUUACUGAGGAAAAGUGCUUUAAAUUCCAGUAGAAUCGGGGCGGGAAGGAGGGGACAGCUGGACGCAGAGUGCCCGUGUCCUGCCCAGUAGGCAGCAGGUAGCGCGCGCCCAGGCAGUUCUUCGGAGGAGGAUGAGAAGCAGAGAGGGAGACGGUGUUUCCUUGUGACGCCCCUGCUGCCUGGCCUCGCCCAGCCUUCCCGGGCCCACAGGCCGUUCCAGGUCCCACUGCCCUGUCCCCAUCCACCUCCAUGUCCGGCCUGUGCGCUUUAGCAGUGACACUGGGCAACUAGUGAGUGUGUGGCAGGCCCACCACCAGCGCCGGGCUGCGGCCUCAGACCCUCGCCUGCGAAGGUCGCGAUCAUCCAGACCUAGGCUUGGUGCGGGGCAGAUGUGCACAGUGCUCAGCUCAAGGCCUGGAAAUGUUAGCGGUCCUGUUUGUCACUGUUGUCGCCGGGGCGAGACCCUGCGGUCCAUCAGUGAGAGCCCUGCUCGGCUCUGCGGCAGGGGAGCCCCUCACUAAGGAUGCGGGGGUCGCACAGCUAUGUCCAAGAAACCAGCCCUGCAGCUCGGGGCGCUGUCCUCCUGUGCUCGCUGCCACGGCUGCGUCCUGGGGCACCAAGGUCCUGGAACCCAGGCAGGCAUCUCCGUGCGGGUUCUGGGUGACUGUGAUGCCAGGGUCUUCACUGGGUUGUCCGCAGUGACUUCUGUAGCAGUAUCCGCUCCAGCCUCAGGCACAGUGGGGGACAGGUGGGCGGAAGGUCAAGGUGCAGCCCACCCUGCACCCCAUGGAAGGUGGCUUACAGGCAGCAGCCCCUCGGAGCCCUUUCCACCCCUGAUAGGGGCCGUGCUGUGGUGGAGGGGGCCCUGACUGAGGCAGCACCCCAGGCUCCCUGUCCUGUGCCCCAAGCUUGCUCCCCUACCCUCGUUUAGGCCAUGGUUUCACCUUGGCCAUUGGGAAGCCCUAGAAGCAUUUUCAUCAGUGAAUGAUGAACGCUCAUCACGAGCAAGAGAGCUGGUCGCUUUUAUGGGGUUCUCCCAGGGUCUGCUGUUGCCCGCGGCUGCCCACACCCUCGGGUUUAGAACGGGAGGGAACGAGAGCUCCUCCGUCCCAUCUAGGGUCACGUAAUGUGAGUGCCGGAAAGAGGAGUGCAACGUGCAAGGUGAGCGGCGUGUACGUCCAGGCUAAGGCCAGGGCUGGGCCUCGUCUAGGCUGGUGGCUCGAGUGCUGGCGUGGGAUUCCGACCCAGCUUGGCCCGGGCCUGGGUCCCCGGUUCCUCCAGGUCAGCUGUGAGAUGCUGGAGAAAAUCCCAGUGCUCCGAAGCCUGCGUGACCGAGAGCAGCGGGCCGGGAAGGACGUCACCCUG